rnacentral:misc_RNA from 1 species
GUGGAUUAAUUCGAUGCAACGCGAAAAACCUUACCUACCCUUGACAUGUCUGGAAUCCCGAAGAGAUUUGGGAGUGCUCGCAAGAGAACCGGAACACAGGUGCUGCAUGGCUGUCGUCAGCUCGUGUCGUGAGAUGUUGGGUUAAGUCCGCAACGAGCGCAACCCUUGUCAUUAGUUGCUACGAAGGGCACUCUAAUGAGACUGCCGGUGACAAACCGGAGGAAGGUGAGGAUGACCUCAAGUCCUCAUGGCCCUUAUGGGUAGGGCUUCACACGUCAUACAAUGGUCGGGACAGAGGGUCGCCAACCCGCGAGAGGCCAAUCCCAGAAACCCGAUCGUAGUCCGGAUCGCAGUCUGCAACUCGACUGCGUGAAGUCGGAAUCGCUAGUAAUCGCGGAUCAGCAUGUCGCGGUGAAUACGUUCCCGGGUCUUGUACACCGCCCGUCACACCAUGGGAGUGGGUUUUACCAGAAGUAGUUAGCCUAACCGUAAGGAGGGCGAUUACCACGGUAGGAUUCAUGACUGGGGUGAAGUCGUAACAAGGUAG